GUUGGUGAGGUAACGGCUCACCAAGGCGACGAUCCCUAGCUGGUCUGAGAGGAUGACCAGCCACACUGGAACUGAGACACGGUCCAGACUCCUACGGGAGGCAGCAGUGGGGAAUAUUGCACAAUGGGCGCAAGCCUGAUGCAGCCAUGCCGCGUGUAUGAAGAAGGCCUUCGGGUUGUAAAGUACUUUCAGCGGGGAGGAAGGUGUUGUGGUUAAUAACCACAGCAAUUGACGUUACCCGCAGAAGAAGCACCGGCUAACUCCGUGCCAGCAGCCGCGGUAAUACGGAGGGUGCAAGCGUUAAUCGGAAUUACUGGGCGUAAAGCGCACGCAGGCGGUCUGUCAAGUCGGAUGUGAAAUCCCCGGGCUCAACCUGGGAACUGCAUUCGAAACUGGCAGGCUUGAGUCUUGUAGAGGGGGGUAGAAUUCCAGGUGUAGCGGUGAAAUGCGUAGAGAUCUGGAGGAAUACCGGUGGCGAAGGCGGCCCCCUGGACAAAGACUGACGCUCAGGUGCGAAAGCGUGGGGAGCAAACAGGAUUAGAUACCCUGGUAGUCCACGCCGUAAACGAUGUCUACUUGGAGGUUGUGCCCUUGAGGCGUGGCUUCCGGAGCUAACGCGUUAAGUAGACCGCCUGGGGAGUACGGCCGCAAGGUUAAAACUCAAAUGAAUUGACGGGGGCCCGCACAAGCGGUGGAGCAUGUGGUUUAAUUCGAUGCAACGCGAAGAACCUUACCUGGUCUUGACAUCCACGGAAGUUUUCAGAGAUGAGAAUGUGCCUUCGGGAACCGUGAGACAGGUGCUGCAUGGCUGUCGUCAGCUCGUGUUGUGAAAUGUUGGGUUAAGUCCCGCAACGAGCGCAACCCUUAUCCUUUGUUGCCAGCGGUCCGGCCGGGAACUCAAAGGAGACUGCCAGUGAUAAACUGGAGGAAGGUGGGGAUGACGUCAAGUCAUCAUGGCCCUUACGACCAGGGCUACACACGUGCUACAAUGGCGCAUACAAAGAGAAGCGACCUCGCGAGAGCAAGCGGACCUCAUAAAGUGCGUCGUAGUCCGGAUUGGAGUCUGCAACUCGACUCCAUGAAGUCGGAAUCGCUAGUAAUCGUGGAUCAGAAUGCCACGGUGAAUACGUUCCCGGGCCUUGUACACACCGCCCGUCACACCAUGGGAGUGGGUUGCAAAAGAAGUAGGUAGCUUAACCUUCGGGAGGGCGCUUACCACUUUGUGAUUCAUGACUGGGGUGAAGUCGUAACAAGGUAACCGUAGGGGAACCUGC
rnacentral:rRNA from 1 species